UCUGCAUCUGGGGGGACAAUUUGUGUAAUUCCACGGUAUAGGCAUCCACACUUUUAUUUCCUUGGUGGAAGUUGACCAUCUUGUGGAAGAACAUCUUCUAAAGUUUAGGAGGAACAAAAUUCUCAUUCAAUAUUUGAUUCAUAACCCCCUACAUUGUGACCAGUCCAAGUCACCUAAUGAGCAUUGACUAUAGCAUGUCAUCCCACCACGGACAAGCAUACCCAGUGAACUUGGUAGAAUUAAGUUUGCGCUUCUUGUCAUCUGAAAAGGACUUGUAGGCAAAAAUCCUCUCAACUUUAGUCAACCAGUCAAGAAAAUUCUUGGGUCCCUUCUCGCCAUCGAACUCUGGAACCUCAACCUUAAUGUUAUAAUCCUUGUAUGGA